rnacentral:tRNA from 1 species
GCGAGUAUGGUGUAACGAUAGCAUGCGAGGCUUCCAACCUCCUGGUCAGGGUUUGAAUCCCUGUACUCGCUCCA